AGCAGCACCGCGGGAAUACGAAGGGGGCUAGCGUUGCUCGGAAUCACUGGGCGUAAAGGGUGCGUAGGCGGGUCUUUAAGUCAGGGGUGAAAUCCUGGAGCUCAACUCCAGAACUGCCUUUGAUACUGAAGAUCUUGAGUUCGGGAGAGGUGAGUGGAACUGCGAGUGUAGAGGUGAAAUUCGUAGAUAUUCGCAAGAACACCAGUGGCGAAGGCGGCUCACUGGCCCGAUACUGACGCUGAGGCACGAAAGCGUGGGGAGCAAACAGGAUUAGAUACCCCCGUAGUCCCUGUCUCUUAUACC
rnacentral:rRNA from 1 species